UGUAUUGUGUACUAAAACUACCGAAUUUCAUAAAUGAAAGAAUUUUGUAAAAUAAACUACUGGGAAUAAAAUUAUGAAAUUUUAAACUAUAACUUUUAAGGAUUUUGCAGCUCUCACUUAUUUUUCCAUGAUUUCUCUUCUCACUCUCUGUCCUCCCUUCGUUUUUUUGCUAUGGUAUUCGAUGGUACAUGCCGAUGGGUCUAUUAUCCAGACCUUUGAUUACUUGAGGCAACAUGGGCUGCAAGGAUUUGUAGAUAUAUGGCCAAGACCCACUGUUAUCGCUUGGAAAAUAAUUGCUUGUUAUGCAGCAUUUGAGGCUGCCCUUCAGCUUCUUCUGCCUGGAAAAAGGGUUGAAGGCCCAAAUCUCCUGCUGGGAACCGACCUGUUUACAAGGCAAAUGGUGUGGCAGCGUACACAGUGACACUAUCAACCUGUCUAAGCCUUUGGUGGUAAAGGAUUUCUCCAUCAACUUCUUUUGUUAUGAAGUUGCAAAAUGCUUUGGAACUAUGAAUUUGAUGUAGUUAGAAGGGUUGUUCUGAGUGGAAGUUUUCCCUUUGGCUGCUUGUUCGGCAUAUUCAAUCCCACAAUUGUUAAUGAUCAUUUGGGAGAAAUAUCUUUGCACUUAUUUUUUGAAGCCUCAUCUUUUGUGUUUUCUCAUACAUUAAAGUGAGGAUUUAAAUUUAAGCUUGCCAUAAUAUUAUUUAUUCACAAAUUAAACUGCUUCAAUUUAUAUCUGACACUGAUGCUUUAUGUAUACGAGGGUCAUUUAGCCCCAUCUUCCAGUGAUUCUGAGAACUAUUAACAAGUGAUUUCCAACAUUUUCUGGCAUUUAUGUUUUCUUUAAAAAAGAACCUGGGAAAAUCAUAUCGCAUGAUAACUUUCAUAUGGUGCUAAAUGUUUGAUUGGCCAUGUAAGCAUCAAUGGAAGUUUAGGCUAAGCUUGUAUUU